rnacentral:rRNA from 1 species
GACAGAGGGUGCAAACGUUGUUCGGAAUUACUGGGCGUAAAGCGCGUGUAGGCUGCCCCGCAAGUCGGAUGUGAAAGCCCUGGGCUCAACCUAGGAAGUGCAUUCGAAACUGCGGGGCUGGAGCCUGGAGAGGAAGGCGGAAUUCUCGGUGUAGAGGUGAAAUUCGUAGAUAUCGAGAGGAACACCGGUGGCGAAGGCGGCCUUCUGGACAGUGACUGACGCUGAGACGCGAAAGCGUGGGGAGCAAACAGG